GAUAGGUGAAGAUUAUGUUCUCACUAACAAAAAAACGUGGAACAGAUUUCUGCUGCAGUAACAUGGUAGCUAGAUAUAGUCACAAAAAUUAUUUGGACGAGAAACCGCUCGGGCAAACCGGGUGAUGUAGCCAGGGGCCUGGCUGUCAGAGGGCAAGCCAGACCAGACAGAACAUGACAAAGACCGUACCUGGAAUAAGCCCCCCCCCCCCCCACGUCUGUUCAAUGGCAUCAGGUUGGCAAUGUGGCGAGUAAUGGGGAGCUAACGCAGAAUGCGUCAUUGAAAGGCAGCCACUCUGUCUAGCUGUGUGACCAGCGAGACAUCCCCCUGAUAUUUCUAUAGAACACCGUUCCAACGCCAGAGCGGACCCUUUUCCAAACCCAGGCAGAGACCAACAUACUAAAGGCUCAGGGUUCCAUGAUGUCUGCUGUGGCAUGUCUCUGUUCCAAAAAUCACUAUCGCCAUGGCCCUGACAGUUAUGCUAUGGUUUGUCCAAUAGUGCCAGUAGUAGUCACUAUGAAAAUCUGCCUUGUGCCUACACAUCAAUUCCUUUAUAUAUUGAAAAUACUAACUAAACUGGUCCCUGUCUUUUGUGUGUGGUUUUCUUUAUCUCGUGUGUUUCAGGAAGAAAUAUGGAAAGCAAAAAUAUGGAAAGAAAUAUGGAAAGCAAAAAUAUGGAAAGAAAUAUGGAAAGCAUACGCAUAACCAUGGUAGCAAUUAAAAGGGAACAGUUGGGAGUCAUGGGGAAAUUAUUAGACGAACGGCGAGGACACAACAGAUCACCUGACACAAUCCAAACAUUACACUGUUGAUUGUAUGUGCAUCUUACAUUUACUAUACUUUUCGCCACAUUUGUUGAUAACGAAAUCUGAAAAUACUCUGGACACAUUCAGUAACAUAAGAAUAUUCUUGUCAAAUGUGGGGUUUGCGCAACAUAAAACCCCCAAAUUACAAGGGUUUAAGUGAGAGGUCUAA